rnacentral:rRNA from 1 species
CAAUAGCGUAUAUUAAAGUUGUUGCAGUUAAAAAGCUCGUAGUCGGAUUUCGGGGCCUGCCGAGCGGUCUGCCGAUGGGUAUGCACUGUUCGGCGCGUCCUUCUUUCCGGAGACUAAUUCUACUCUUAACUGAGCGGAAUUGGGAGACGGAUCGUUUACUUUGAAAAAUCAGAGUGUUUCAAGCAGGCAGCUCGCUCUUGCAUGGAUUAGCAUGGGAUAAUGAAAUAGGACUCUGGUGCUAUUUUGUUGGUUUCGAACACCGGAGUAAUGAUUAACAGGGACAGUCAGGGGCACUCGUAUUCCGUCGAGAGAGGUGAAAUUCUCAGACCAAUGGAAGACGAACCACUGCGAAAGCAUUUGCCAGGGAUGUUUUCACUGAUCAAGAACGAAAGUUAGGGGAUCGAAGAUGAUUAGAUACCGU